UCACAAGGUACAUACUUUAUGAGCCUUAGUCUUUUCCUACAUAAUGUGGUGUCACUCACUCACAUUUUCCAGCAGCCUAUUUGUGCAAUGCAGAUGACAUGGCCACUAUUCAGUACAUUGUUUCAGCAUCAGAGAAAAAAGAAUUAGUUCAUAUUGAUACUUACAGUGCAACAAAAAAAGAUCUACAAUGCCUGCUAGAGAGUUCUAUGUACCUGAGCGAUGCGGCAAGUACAACUUCACAUAACAUUUUUCUAUUACUACAAUGUUGUCUAACGCUGUAUAAUUUUGUAUUACAGGUUAUAAAUGCAUACAUUCGUAUCCUAAAAGCACAACCUAGUAUCCAAGCAAGACAGGAUGGAGAUGCUUACCUAGAGACAACAUACUUCUCAACCAUGAUACGUGAUGAUAGCACCACUAAAUUACGAGAUCAAAAUGAAAAAAGCUUUCGGGUAGUUCGUACAUUAACUUAUCUCCAGCACGAUAUGGUCGUCUUUCCAAUUAAUAUUAAGAACAAUCAUUGGUAUCUGGCGGUGCUCAAUGGAAGCAUGCUUUUAAACAGGUACUUGACUCAAUGGGUUCCAGCAGCCGUCGUCCUGAACUAGACCAACUGUUGAAAGGGCUGCACAACCGUAUAAACCAUCUAGCGUACCUAAAGAUGAAGACACAAACAAAGUGGAAGGAUGUCAAGCUCAAAGAGUGGCGUGUCGUCGAAUGCAUCAACAGGAGAAUGCAGACCGACGGGUAGGCUACACAUAUUGAAUUCGGCAAACAAAUCAGAUGUCACACUGCUAUUUCCUAACUUUGUAGAUAAAAACUAUUCUCACAGCUCAUCGUGUGGGCUAUUCGUGCUGAAAUUCAUGAAGCUUUGGGCAGGAAGUAGGUUGUCCAGCAUAUUCACCCAGAAGGACAUGACUAAUUUUAGGCUCAAACUAGCGGUCACAUUGGUCGACUAUCCGUGGAACAAGGUGAAAGGGAGUCCUGGCUACAAAUCUACGGAUGUCGACGAAGCCAUAGAAAAAUAGAUUUAAUUUCAAGUUUCAGUUUAUUUCACUGAGCUAAUUAAGGAUAAUAUCUAAGGAUAUCCUUAAAGUUGAAUGAUGAAAA